rnacentral:rRNA from 1 species
AUUGAACGCUGGCGGCAGGCUUAACACAUGCAAGUCGAGCGGAGAUGAGGUGCUUGCACCUUAUCUUAGCGGUGGACGGGUGAGCAAUGCUUAGGAAUCUGCCUAUUAGUGGGGGACAACAUUCCGAAAGGAAUGCUAAUACCGCAUACGCCCUACGGGGGAAAGCAGGGGAUCUUCGGACCUUGCGCUAAUAGAUGAGCCUAAGUCGGAUUAGCUAGUUGGUGGGGUAAAGGCCUACCAAGGCGACGAUCUGUAGCGGGUCUGAGAGGAUGAUCCGCCACACUGGGACUGAGACACGGCCCAGACUCCUACGGGAGGCAGCAGUGGGGAAUAUUGGACAAUGGGCGGAAGCCUGAUCCAGCCAUGCCGCGUGUGUGAAGAAGGCCUUUUGGUUGUAAAGCACUUUAAGCGAGGAGGAGGCUACCUGGAUUAAUACUCUAGGAUAGUGGACGUUACUCGCGGAAUAAGCACCGGCUAACUCUGUGCCAGCAGCCGCCGUAAUAC